rnacentral:misc_RNA from 1 species
GGUGAUUCUCCAUGCCCAUUGCUCAAUAUAAGUGCUUUUUUUUUUCCUUAACAACUGGCUCUGGUGAUGAUCCUUCCAGUUAGUGUUAAGAGGUGCAGGACUGUUUGGUCCUUUUCGAGAUUUAAACUCAUAUGUUGUUUCCUUGUUUCAAUCCUAAUCCCAAAGAAAUUUUCUUUCUACAGGAGUGGAGAGAAGUUGCCUCUUUAAUGAUCAUUGAUUUCAGUGUGUUGCACCUAAGAAAAUAAAGUGACAUAAUUAACGAGACAAAGUUCACACUUGGGCACUGUUUGCACAUCUUGUCCCAUCUAUGACCUUCCCAACCCAACCACCAAAAAUCUCACUCCCACGAGUCCACAAGAACUCAAAAACAGAAGACAAGAACCAAUCAAGCCACUCCAAGAAAAUGUCCAAACCCACACUCUACCUUCUAGGACUCCUUUUCCUUCACACCCAUUUCACGAUUUGCAGUGGGGUUUCAGUUCCAGGCCUUAAUUCACUGGAAAACAGUGAGAUUGAUGCCAUGGUGAGGAGGGGUUGCACCAGGAAAAUUGGAGACUGCCUUGAAGAACCAGAGAUGGAGUCAGAGAUCAGCAGGAGAGUUCUUGUGAUGCAAAAGAAGUAUAUAAGCUAUGAGACACUGAAGAGGGACAUGGUUCCAUGUUCAAAACCUGGUGCAUCUUACUAUGAUUGUCAUGCUGGAGAGGCUAAUCCUUAUAGCAGAGGUUGUGAGGUUAUUACAAGGUGUAGAGUGCAUUAACAAUUUGAGUACAAACUAGUUAAAAUUGACAUCAUCUUUGUGCUUUUACAUUUCUGGAUUUGGUGUCUUAAUUGGGGCUUUCUUGGUCGUAUUUGUAUAUUUAAGACUCUUAUUUUGAUUUCCCAUAUGCAUCAAUAUAAGCUUAAUUUUUGGAAAGAUCUGGGUCAUUCUUUUCAGAUUAUUUUAAAUAAAUGCCUUCCAAAAAUUUCAGCUUUCUUUUAUGGAAGAUUUAAGGUUUCUGAUCUUUCUUGUUUGUGGUAGACAUAGUUGAUGCUGUUUUCUUUUAGGGUAUCCUACUUUUAUCAAUAAAAUAAAAAUUUCUAUUGUAGAAGUGGUUAUGAACAUAACCCCUCUCUUUUUCUGGGCAGACCAUCAAAGCAAAAGCAAAUUUUUGUUGACAAAUUCCUCUCCCUAUUAGAUAGAUUUUGGGAAAUUAAAGAAUGUAUUUACACUGGAGAGGAAAAGAUUGCAUAAAUGAACCAAAGAGGGAGAUUCACUGUAGCUUUCAAGAAUAAUUAUGCCAUUCAAAGAGGUGACCUCAUCCUAUUUCAUUAACAGAUUUUCCAUCAAGAAUCUGCACUGAUGUCUUGCUCUAACCUCCUUGAUAAUCUAGGAACAGACUAAAAUCUUUAUGAAGCUUGAAGAUGCCUCAACACUUGGUUAUUGUUUAACAUCUGGUGCAGAAUUCUUGUUGUUAUCAGUCAAUUAUUUCCUUUUCACUGAAUCAAGCCAUUUUCCCAUAUGUAGUGUGGCUGAUUAUUACUGAUCAUCUCCUUUUCUGGCCUCUUUUUUCUUUUUAUGAAAUAAAUUAUUUGAUGUUCCUGUACUGGUUUCUUCUCAGCAGUGACCGUACAAGAUCUCAUUAAGAUUCAUCUGUGAUUGUGUGUUAUAUGUAUAAUUCAUUAG